rnacentral:sRNA from 1 species
AAGACAACCUCUUCUCUCCCGCUUCUCUCGCUGUGAAGAUGGCGCUCUCCAGGGUCUUCAAAGCUUCACCUUUCUCCAAAGGCAGAUGUGAAGAACUUGAUGUCUUAUGUCGUAACCAAGACAAAAGCCAUUAAUGGGAAAUACCAUCGUUUCUUGGGUCGUCAUUUCCCCCGCUUCUAUGUCCUGUACACAAUCUUCAUGAAAGAAAGCCUUGAGCCGGGCCAUGCUUCUCACAUCUUACCUGCCUCCUCCCUUGUUGAGACAUCGUUUGAAGACUCAUACAACUGUGAUUCACCAACUGGACAAGGCUUUGGCAAAGCUGGGGAUUGGCCAGCUGACUGCUCAGGAAGUAAAAUCGGCUUGUUAUCUCCGUGGCCUGAAUUCUACGCAUAUUGGUGAAGAUAGGUGUCGAACUUGGCUGGGAGAAUGGCUGCAGAUUUCCUGCAGCCUGAAAG